ensembl:lncRNA
AUGUCUGUUGCAGGUUUUCCAGAGGAAUGGAGGAGCAGUGGAGUAUUGGAGCAUCUCAGAGAAAGAUGGCUGACAGAUAACCGACACUCGCGCUGUGGAGAUACUAAAGCAACAGGUAAGACAAACCCACCCAUUCACUAUAUUACAAUAACUUUUAACUUUUUUUUAAGUCGUCAUUUAUGAUCCGCUUCAUCAGUUUCAUCUAGCAUAUCCAUGUUCAAGCUAAAGUACAUUCAAGCUAAAGUAAUUCAGCUAAAGAAUUCAAGAAUUCAAGCUAAAGUACAUUCAGCUGAUACACCCCGGAAAGUUUUUCCAAAUUAAAUCCAGUUGACCAGUAGCUCCGGAAGACAUGUUGUGAAAAUCACUAUAAGUUUUUGAAAAGUACUACAGGGUUUUAAAUGGGCACACACCCUACUGAAUAAACACUGCUCUGAUCCUUCACACAUUUAUUUUCAUUUAUGGAAUUUUAAAUGUCUUUCCACACAAGGUUUGAUUUUAUGAUUUGUUGUCACACAUACUAAGACUUUUUUAAAGCAUUUAGGAAAAGGAGCCUGAGCAGGUGCAGAAGGCAGCAGUCUGAAUGAUUGCUGUUGAGGAGGAAGAGGAAAUGUCACGAGGGAACCCACUGGAUGUUUUGAUUGUCUUUGAAGAUGAAGAGGUGAUAUCAACCAAGUCUAGGGUCAGUGCACUGCUGUUGUUUUUGCACUUUAUGCCCUCAUUUAGAGUACAUUAACUUCUCAAAGCAGCCUUACAGAAAAUGUACAUUACAAUUUAGCCUGAUCUAUACUAUAAAUACUAUACUUUUCAACUUGAAUAGUGUUGUAUCAUGUGAUUUAUAGUGAUGCUACAUGGGUGUACUUACUUCUGUUGUAUACUGUAUGUUUGACUAAUACACUGGAAGCUGUAUUGAUGUGACAUACUGAUACAGUUCCUCACUGCUAAGUAGUUGGGUUUAAUACAGGAUAUUUACAGUCUGAUGUAGUAAAAAGAAAAGUUGUAUGAACAUGUCCUUUUACUUUGUUAACAAAUGCUGUUUUCGUAGAGUUUCCACUAGGGUUCUAAUGGCAUGAGAUUUUCACGGUAUGAUAAUCGUCCCAGAAAAUAUCACGGUAUUAUAGUUAUCAUGGUACUGUAUAUAUUAAACAACAAUUCUUAUCAGAAACAAUAACUCUUAAAAGAACAAGAACGAAGUUAUUUGAGUGAACAAAUCCUUUAUUAUUGGGCUGCACGAUUAUGACAAAAAUCUAAUUGUAAUUGCGAUUAUUAAUUAUGUUUAUCAAAAUUUACAAAAUGUACAAAAAUAAACAAGCUGAAAACAUAUAUAUAUAUAUAUAUAUAUAUAUAUAUAAAUAAAAAAAAUCUAAAGCAAGUUCAGCAAAAAAGUGAAGUUUAUGUGUUGCUGCUGUGACAAAAAUGUUUUUUUUUUUUUUUUUUUUUAAGAACAUGGUUGGUGCAUUUUAUGUUUUGCGAUGCUAAAACCAUUUAAGGUUUAAAUAAACACUGAAUUGUUAAUAAUUUGUCUCUGUCUGUCAUUGAAGUUAUGUAUUUAUUGUAAUGACCUUAAAAAGUGGAUUCAGCAGUGGGGAGAAAUUUGCAUAUUUUUACUCAAAAAUAAUACAUUUAUAGUAUAUUGCUUGUGUGUUUCAAAGACACUCAUGAUUAAUUUGUAAUGAACUUGUAAUACAAAAAAGUACACUUUAAUAUCACUAAUCAAGCAUGUAAAUAGGUAUAUAAAGUGUACUAAGUAUGCUAGAAGUUGUUCCAAUUUAGCACAACAAAGUACACUAAAUACACAAAGUUAUACUUUAGUAUAAUUUAAUUACAACUAAAAAACACAGUACAAAAACAGUUGUUUCAAAAUAGCACACUUCAAGUUAACUAAUCAUUAACACACUUGAAGUAUACUGACAAGUAGUCUGGCUGCAAGUAUACUGGGUAUAAUUUAUUUAUUUUUUUCACGAGGGGAAGAACAGAUGUAGAAUGAGUUCGGCAAAAGGUGGAUUUGAACUCGGAUCGAUCUAAUCAAAAGUUUUAUCACAAGUCUUACUUCUUUCUUGCUAUUGUUCUUAAACAUGCAUCUUUUGUAAUGAUGUCUAUUCCAACUAGACAUUGGCAUGCAGUGGCGGACUGGGACAGUAAAUCAGGCCGGGAAUUUGACUCCACCCCAGGCCACCUCUGUUGCUGCAGUCACCACCACCCAAUUCAUGUGUCCACCAGACUGCUAAACUUGUAGGCUAACCCUGUUAGUUGAUGUAACAGGUAGACUACCAUACAUAAUAUGAAUGGAUAAAUAAAUAAACCUUCAAAAACUCACUAGGAAUCCACCAUCUAUAUCAUCUUUCCCUGAAUCCCUCUCUCUCUCACUCUGCACAUCUAGUUUCUCUGCUAUAAUAAGCACUUUCAAUAAUCUAUAUUAAUUGUGCAGCCAUCAAUUGUAUGUCCCCAUGAUCACAGUCCUACUAAUGAUUUAUAAAUCAUAAAAGCACAUAUUGUUCUAAGAGUAUAGCCAGCAUGUUUAGUUUUGCUUAUAGCUUAAACUUUACCGGAAGGUUCCUGCUCUGACUCAAAAGCUGAACUGUCCACUCCCUUUUGUUUAACAGCAGGAGCACUUGGAGCACUAGUGCUACUGUUGCUUCCUUCAUC